GAUGAACGUUGGCGGCGUGCCUAAUACAUGCAAGUCGAGCGAACAGACGAGGAGCUUGCUCCUCUGACGUUAGCGGCGGACGGGUGAGUAACACGUGGAUAACCUACCUAUAAGCCUGGGAUAACUUCGGGAAACCGGAGCUAAUACCGGAUAAUAUAUUGAACCGCAUGGUUCAAUAGUGAAAGACGGUUUUGCUGUCACUUAUAGAUGGAUCCGCGCCGCAUUAGCUAGUUGGUAAGGUAACGGCUUACCAAGGCGACGAUGCGUAGCCGACCUGAGAGGGUGAUCGGCCACACUGGAACUGAGACACGGUCCAGACUCCUACGGGAGGCAGCAGUAGGGAAUCUUCCGCAAUGGGCGAAAGCCUGACGGAGCAACGCCGCGUGAGUGAUGAAGGUCUUCGGAUCGUAAAACUCUGUUAUUAGGGAAGAACAAAUGUGUAAGUAACUAUGCACGUCUUGACGGUACCUAAUCAGAAAGCCACGGCUAACUACGUG
rnacentral:rRNA from 1 species